AUUGAACGCUGGCGGCAGGCCUCACACAUGCAAGUCGAACGAGUGGCGGACGGGUGAGUAAUGUCUGGGAAACUGCCCGAUGGAGGGGGAUAACUACUGGAAACGGUAGCUAAUACCGCAUACUAUCGGAUGUGCCCAUAUGGGAUUAGCUAGUAGGUGGGGUAACGGCUCACCUAGGCGACGCUCCCUAGCUGGUCUGCGAGGAUGACUAGACACACUGGAACUGAGACACGGUCCAGACUCCUACGGGAGGCAGAAGUGGGGAAUAUUGCACAUGGGGCGCAAGCCUGAUGCAGACAUGCCGCGUGUAUGAAGAAGGCCUUAGGGUUGUAAAGGACUUGCAGCGAGGAGGCGUUACUCGCAGAAGAAGCACCGGCUAACUCCGUGACAGCAGCCGCGGUAAUAC
rnacentral:rRNA from 1 species